GGUCCUGUCUGGUGCCGGGAACUCCGUGAUCAGGAAGGCGGAGACCCCAGGAGAAGGCCCUUUCAUUGCACUUCGGAAGGGCUGAGACCUGCCACUCUCCCAAACUGGGAAAGAUGGGGCAUGUAAUUUUUGGUAGGUAAGCUAAAACUCUGCAAAGUGGUGCCUUU
rnacentral:snRNA from 1 species